ACUUCGGUGGCCUAGUGGUUAGAGCGUACGCCUAGGAUGCGAAAGGGCGUGGAUUCGAUCCCCGGUCGAUUCA